GCAGUCUGCAACUCGAGNGCAUGAAGCUGGAAUCGCUAGUAAUCGCGGAUCAGAAUGCCGCGGUGAAUACGUUCCCGGGUCUUGUACACACCGCCCGUCACACCAUGGGAGUCGGGAAUGCCCGAAGCCGGUGGCCCAAUCGAAAGAAGGGAGCCGUCGAAGGCAGGCCGGAUGACUGGGGUGAAGUCGUAACAAGGUAGC
rnacentral:rRNA from 1 species